rnacentral:rRNA from 1 species
UACAGAGGAUGCAAGCGUUAUCCGGAAUGAUUGGGCGUAAAGCGUCCGCAGGUGGUUUUGUAAGUCUGCUGUUAAAGCGUUAGGCUCAACCUAAUAAGGGCAGUGGAAACUAUGAGACUAGAGUAUGUUAGGGGUAGAGGGAAUUCCCAGUGUAGCGGUGAAAUGCGUAGAGAUGUGGAGGAACACCGAUGGCGAAGGCAGCCCCCUGGGCUAACACUGACGCUCAUGCACGAAAGCGUGGGGAGCAAACAGG